rnacentral:tRNA from 1 species
AAAAUUUUAAGUUAAGUUAAACUAAUAAUUUUCAAAAUUAUAAUUAAACUUAUUAGUUUAAAUUUUA